rnacentral:rRNA from 1 species
GUGGGGAAUAUUGCGCAAUGGGCGAAAGCCUGACGCAGCCAUGCCGCGUGUGUGAAGAAGGCCUUCGGGUUGUAAAGCACUUUCAGAGGGGAGGAAAGGGCGCUGGCUAAUACCCGGCGCAGUUGACGCUACCCUCAGAAGAAGCACCGGCUAAUUCCGUGCCAGCAGCCGCGGUAAUACGGAAGGUGCAAGCGUUAAUCGGAAUUACUGGGCGUAAAGCGCGCGUAGGCGGCUUGGUAAGUCGGGUGUGAAAGCCCCGGGCUCAACCUGGGAACUGCAUUCGAUACUGCCGGGCUAGAGUACGAGAGAGGGGGGUGGAAUUCCAGGUGUAGCGGUGAAAUGCGUAGAGAUCUGGAGGAACACCAGUGGCGAAGGCGGCCCCCUGGUUCGAUACUGACGCUGAGGUGCGAAAGCGUGGGGAGCAAACAGGAUUAGAAACCCCAGUAGUCC